rnacentral:rRNA from 1 species
CACGUAGGGUGCGAGCGUUGUCCGGAAUUAUUGGGCGUAAAGAGCUCGUAGGCGGUGUGUCGCGUCGGCCGUGAAAACCUGUGGCUUAACCAUGGGCUUGCGGUCGAUACGGGCAUCACUGGAGUUCGGCAGGGGAGACUGGAAUUCCUGGUGUAGCGGUGAAAUGCGCAGAUAUCAGGAGGAACACCGGUGGCGAAGGCGGGCCACCUG